rnacentral:rRNA from 1 species
CGUAGGUGGCAAGCGUUGUCCGGAUUUAUUGGGUUUAAAGGGUGCGUAGGCGGUUCCAUAAGUCAGUGGUGAAAUACGGCAGCUCAACUGUCGAGGUGCCAUUGAUACUGCGGAACUUGAGUACUGAUGAGGUAGGCGGAAUUGACGGUGUAGCGGUGAAAUGCUUAGAUAUCGUCAAGAACACCGAUAGCGAAGGCAGCUUACCAAGCAGUAACUGACGCUGAGGCACGAAAGUGCGGGGAUCAAACAGGAUUAGAUACCCUGGUAGUCCGCACAGUAAACGAUGAUUACUCGAUGUUGGCGAUACACAGCCAGCGUCUUAGCGAAAGCGAUAAGUAAUCCACCUGGGGAGUACGCCCGCAAGGGUG